rnacentral:rRNA from 1 species
GACGAACGCUGGCGGCGUGCUUAACACAUGCAAGUCGAGCGGAGCGGCGAACGGGUGAGUAACGCGUGAGUAACUGCCCCCCUCUCUGGGAUAACAGUUGGAAACGGCUGCUAAUACCGGAUAGUGGGGGAUGACUCGCGUCCUAUCAGCUUGUUGGUGGGGUAGUGGCCUACCAAGGCGACGACGGGUAGCCGGCCUGAGAGGGCGACCGGCCACAUUGGGCUGGGGUACGGACCAACCGACUACGGGGGGCAGUGGGGGGGAAGAUUGAACAAGGGGGGAAACCCUGAGGCAGCAGCGCCGCGGGCGGGAGGACGGCCUUCGGGUGGGAAACCGCUUUAAGCCAUGAUGCGGUAGUGGCAGAAGAAGCACCGGCUAACUACGUGCCAGCAGCCGCGGUAAUUC